GGAGAGCACAUAGGAACUACUGCUUUAUCUGUGGUCUAUUUCUCUCACACAUCACUAAUUUGAGGCUCACCCAAAGUGGGAUAUUUAUCCAUUGACCAUUUGGAUCAGCAUGUUUUUUGGAAAGAGGUCCUUUGCUAAUUUAGUCUAUAUUCCAUGUGGUGAAAUCGAAUUCGACACCACUUUUAAGUGUUUUAAUUAUCUCUUGAAGACACACUUAAUUUGCUUAUCCAUAUUGUGAA